rnacentral:lncRNA from 1 species
GUAGGACGAAAUUUCAAAGCAAAGAUGUGUGAAAAGGCCUUAAAUAGGCAGUGGCUAUCAAAAGGAAAUGGGUGGAGAGCAAAAACCUAUGAGUUCAGAGGCUGAAGCAGCUUCUCUUAUGCUUUUUCCUGCUCUUAACAUUUCUUGAGCUAUUCUUCAUGUUAAAGCCCAAGCACUGAGCAGCCCUGUGUUGAGCCCUGUGGAUAAGAAGACCAAGUUUGCUUUUCUUUUCCUUUAAUACAUUUCAUCUCCCAGAGCAGCCAAGGCAGGAUUGCUUAUUCUUCUUGGAUGGUGGAAGCAAUGUCUGGUCAGUGUCUGGCUGACUGAACUUGGCUUUGAGCUCUGCUCAGUGCCCGCUGUCUGAUUGCUGAAGUAUUUCCUUUUAAAUUGCAGCUCUGUAUACCCAGUGCAGUGAAGCUGUCAGUCCGCUGUGUUCUGCGAGCACUGAAUGCUGAGAGGGGUCUGUCUGCAGGCUUUCUUCUGCUGAUUUAUUGCAAGUAAUCAUGAGUUUAAUUAAAGCAGAAAGAGAUGUGCAUAGAGGGAGAGAUCUUUUCUCUUAUAAAUUUGAUGGCUUUUCUGCUGUAGUAUGUGUGUGAGGGGACAAUAAUCCACUUAUUUGCUUGGGGUGGAAAUACCAGUGCGUGUAUAAGUUGUUAAGUUUAGCUUAAUGGCUUUUCUAGGGAAAAAUGGCUAUUAACGUGUUUUAUCUUCUUUGUUUAUUGGGCAGUGCAGAUUUGGGGAACGAGCACUUAUGUUUAGGUUGUGGUAUAAUCUAACUGAGCACUUCGUCCUGGGAGAAGGCACCACUCGCCAUCAUUGGAACUGGUCUCUUCACGUGUCACGCAAACCAGGAACGUGCUGAAGUACAGAAUGAGACUGGAACAAACUUUAUGAAAAUGUGGUUGCUUUUAAAAAUCUUUCCUUCAGAGGAAUGGUUUGGGUGUUUAUUUUCCACAUGAAUUGUUUAGAUCUGGAAUGUUGGGAAAGCAUUUCUGUGCUGGUCUAUCUAAAUUAGCCUUCAGUAGAGUUGAAGUGCCCAGUCUGUGUCCCUAAAGGAAUUCAUCUUCAUGUAGAAUGAAUGUUGAGAGAGGAGAGACCUGCAGAGGUAAGGCUGGCAAGUAGUCUCCUUCUGCUAGAAACCAAAAACAGAGAAAGGGCUGAAGUAAAGCACGGAAGGAUGCUGUUGGUGACUUUGUCAUUGGUUUUGGCACGAGAAGUGUGAAUUCGGUGAGAGGGGGUGGUGAGGGGUUUGUGCACAUUGCAUAUUCAUAUUGCCCCCAGUGUGAGUCAUACAGCACUGCACUUGUUGGGUGAGCUGAACAGCGUCAUACUGCUAGAGAUGAAUCUCACCUGACCAUCCACUCUUUCUUGGAACCCUGAUGUCUGCAGUCAGGGCCUUCAUGGGCUAUUUCACAUCCCUCAAGGAGAGGCUGUGAUGGGCACUGUUUGGGGCUAUCCCCACUGCUCAGGAAGCAAAUGUUUCACACAGCUCAAAUUCAAGCUUAUGGAGUAAGGAGGUAGUUUGGGGGUGAGAGUGAAUUGGGACCUCAUUAA